UAAUUAAAUCCUUCCUAUAGUUCCAAAAUGGUACUUGUGCCUUUAGGUUUAAUUGGGUUUGAACCGUGAACCAGUAGGGUUGGACCAACUUCAGUAGGGACUAACGGCAGUUAGUUCAUUAAGGGAAUAAAGUUACGGCGAUGGCUUAAAACUCGUACGUUUCUUGUAGAGGGAAAAAGUGCUCGUCAAAUAGUAGAGUGGCGAUUUUGGCCCUUUCCCUUUGAAGUAAUAAGAAGGAAAUUGAGGUAGAGUAGUCCAAAAGUUCAGUAUGAUUACCUGAUGUGCUCAAGAAACAAGAGCAAAGGAUGAUAGUGUGCUUAAUCAGGCAUAUAUUUUUUUUAAAAAAGAGAGGUGUUUAUAGAAGGCAAUCACAGGCACUUUAUGGUAGUAUAUGAGGCAAUAUAGGUGAAGUGUGUGAUCGUCCAUCUCUUCUAACGGGCAAAGUUAUCCAAUACCUAUACCAGUGAGAGGAGGCAAGCAUCCAGAGGAACAUUUGACACGCUGCCAAGUUGUACUGCCGUUAUUCCCAAAAUAAAAAGCGUUCCUUCUUUUGAUGUUGUAUAAUGUCACUUGCCAUCUGGGAAAUAAUUGUUUGUACCUAUAGCUUCUCAGGUAGAUUGUGGUGGACAGAAACUCUUUCUGCUCUCUCACUUCCACUUUUUUCCUGUGUUCUCCUGUGAUUUGCCCCUGCCUGUUUUGUUGAUAUACUUUCUUUUAUGUGGGGGAUUGUUGUAUUUUCUUUUUCUCCCUUCCAGUUGCAGGUGGUUGAGCAUUAUUGAGUUGGUUUAGUUGAAAUUAUUACUAUGUCAUGCUCGUUCGAUUUGCAUCCGUAUCGUUUAAUUGAAGUCGUCGAUAUAUAAACCGAGUUGUUUAUCAUUAGGCGUUUCAUCUAGUUUUUUGUGUCCUUGAUUCUGCAGUACUAUUAUGAACCGGUCUCUGGGAAAAAAUUCUGGUCAAUGCCUGAGGUGCUUCGUUUCCUGAAAACGAGUAGCAUGCGCAAGAAGAGCACUGGCGGUGAUGCUACACCAUCUGAGACCCCAAUAGCAAGAAACAGAAGAAAAGUUGCUCGAAGAAAGAAAAAAAUAAAACUACUUCAUUUUACUCUGAUUCUUUGAAUACGCCACAGAGCGUUUGCUGGGUUCUGACGGAUAGUUCUGCAGAUACUUGGGCACCUUUUGUUCAUGGAAACAUGGUUCCUGAAGGCCAAAGAUAAGAAUGGGAUGCUGUCUUCUCGACUGUGUCCCAAAGGAAUGCAAAUAGGAAUGCAGGUGUCUCUAAUGUGCUAUAACCAGUUAAAGAACGUGUCUCGGUAUCUAGCUAGACUAGAUAGUGUGUCAAAUCUCAUCUGAAUUGGGCUCACUUUAUUUUGGUCUUAACAUAGGGACCUCAUAGUUGUUGAUGGCUUCUUGCUUUGGCGUAGGAAUAGGCAAAAGGUGCUCCACCUGAACUCUGUUCAUGAUGUUCAAGUAUGGUCUGUUAUUGGUGUUGUUGAACCAGUGAAUUUGAAGCAUUUUACUAAGAUGGACAUUAGUGAAAAAUUGUCUCAAGUCCGAGCUAUGGAAGCAGUUACUAAUGCUUGCAUAGGGGUAGGCUGUUUAUAUUACACCAUUUCAGGUGUAGCUCAUGAA